UCUGGAUCACCAUCUAGUGGCAGACGGGUGAGUAACACGUGGGUGACCUACCUUUUCGUUGGGGAUAACAGUUGGAAACGAUUGCUAAUACCGCAUGACACAUUGGGGUCGCAUGGCCUUGAUGUCAAAGAUUUAUCGCUGAAAGAUGGCCUCGCGUCUGAUUAGCUAGUUGGUGAGGUAACGGCUCACCAAGGCGACGAUCAGUAGCCGGUCUGAGAGGAUGAACGGCCACAUUGGGACUGAGAUACGGCCCAGACUCC
rnacentral:rRNA from 1 species